rnacentral:lncRNA from 1 species
AUUUCAUGUAAACUCAUCUACUGCUGCCUAUUGCCUGACGCUACUAUAUUGGGUUUUUCCUGUCGUUCUAUCUCAGUGUUUCUAUUAUUUUUUUUCUGCUUCUUUUCUGGCUUUCUUUACUUCUUCAUCUAAUUUCGUUUUCUAGAGGUGAUGAUGACAAGUGUUACAAAAAAAAAAAAAAAAAAGGACUCUGAACUCCCUUUGGGCUAUGAAACUGCCUGCCUCUUCACCCGAUGAUGAAAAUGUUUUAAAUUGAUUCCUUUCCAUACUUAACACCUACCUAUUUUAA